GCNAACGCUGGCGGCGUGCUUAACACAUGCAAGUCGAACGCUGAAGCUUGGUGCUUGCACUGGGUGGAUGAGUGGCGAACGGGUGAGUAAUACGUGAGUAACCUGCCCUUGACUCUGGGAUAAGCCUGGGAAACUGGGUCUAAUACUGGAUAUGACCUCCUGUCGCAUGGUGGGGGGUGGAAAGGGUUUGUACUGGUUGUGGAUGGGCUCACGGCCUAUCAGCUUGUUGGUGGGGUAAUGGCCUACCAAGGCGACGACGGGUAGCCGGCCUGAGAGGGUGACCGGCCACACUGGGACUGAGACACGGCCCAGACUCCUACGGGAGGCAGCAGUGGGGAAUAUUGCACAAUGGGCGCAAGCCUGAUGCAGCGACGCCGCGUGAGGGAUGACGGCCUUCGGGUUGUAAACCUCUUUCAGCACGGAAGAAGCGAAAGUGACGGUACGUGCAGAAGAAGCGCCGGCUAACUACGUGCCAGCAGCCGCGGUAAUACGUAGGGCGCAAGCGUUGUCCGGAAUUAUUGGGCGUAAAGAGCUCGUAGGCGGUUUGUCGCGUCUGCUGUGAAAGCCCCGGGCUUAACCCCGGNUGUGCAGUGGGUACNGGNCAGACUUGAGUGCAGUAGGGGGAGACUGGAACUCCUGGUGUACCGGUNAAUGCCCA
rnacentral:rRNA from 1 species